UUGCCACCAUUUCACGCCCUUUUUUCUUAGAGUGUGAAAGCGAUCCGCGUGAUUCACAUUGCACGCUUUGUGCUGACAUUUCUAGCCUGUUCUACCCACUACGAAUUCAGAUUAGAUCACGACUCAGAUUACUUCGUACUUUACGCCGUUUUCUUACAUUUGUGAGGCUAGAAGACCAGUUGACGAAAGAAGGAACCAUGUCAUCGAAAUACUGCCGACUGCUAGCCGUGAUUCUGAUUGCCCUGGCUGCAUCUACUCAAGCAAAGGUGACUGCGUCUCCGAAACAGUUCUGUUCGCCCAAUGGAGAUGUGUGCUUUGGUCCCUUGGACUGCUGCUCCGGCCAGUGCGUGAACGCCGUCUGCUGUGACGACUACCUGGGCCCUGCCUUUGCGUGUCCCUACGAUUAUUACCCCUUAUAGGCUCUCAUAUGAUCGCUCAUAGAUCACUACCUGUCUCAUCGUGUACAGUCAUCAUCGUGUCCAUUGUCUCUAUCUCUUUUUAAAUCAAAUUGUAUCGGUCAAUAAAAAGUUGUGUUGUUCAAAAG